CGGAGGAUCCGAGCGUUAUCCGGAUUUAUUGGGUUUAAAGGGUGCGUAGGCGGCUUAUUAAGUCAGGGGUGAAAUACGGCAGCUCAACUGUCGCAGUGCCUUUGAUACUGAUAAGCUUGAAUGUGGUUGAAGAUGGCGGAAUGAGACAAGUAGCGGUGAAAUGCAUAGAUAUGUCUCAGAACUCCGAUUGCGAAGGCAGCUAUCUAAGCCAUUAUUGACGCUGAUGCACGAAAGCGUGGGAUCAAACAGGAUU
rnacentral:rRNA from 1 species